UAGAAGCCAAGAACAAAAACUGACAGAAGUUACUAUUCUCUGUAAGAAAAUGAAGAGAGAGCACACAUGACUAAGCACAGGAACCUGAAAAACCACAGGAAUGAAAUGCUGAUAGCUCCUUACUUUGGAGAGUGACUGAAAGAAAACAGAUCAUUCAUACAGUUUACAACAAAGGCAUUUUAUAAUCUGAUUUGUCUAGUUGUGAUGAAGAAUUUUAGUUAAUGGAAGCUGCAGCAGUCUGUCACCAGGAAAUAUACUGCUUUAUUCAGAAUGGGUCAUGUCAGAAUAAUGCUGUGCAUCAAUCAGUCUGGAACUUGUUGUUGCCUAUCAGUCGCUCAGUAGUCAGUGUAGAUUCUGUCUUUACAAUCAGCAGCUACAUCUGGCUACUGGGUCUCUGAUGACAUCUUGUAGCUUCUUUCCAUGCAUUUUGUAACAGAUUAUUUGGCAUUCUUUAUGAUAAUGCAGACUUCAUCAUGGCUCCUAGAUGCAAAACAUUUCACAGUGCUGCUAAGUUAUUUGCUAUCAUUCGGGGUUUGGAAAUCAUAAAUGUCUAAUAAGGAGUGAAGUAUUUGUUGGAUUUACUUUAUAGAAUGGAGUGGAUUAAGUGCAUCUCUUUGUUUUUCUGUUAGAAUGCUUCAAUAUAUUUUCUCAUCUACACAAGUAGCUUAUACCUAAAUUUUUUUAGUAAUGUAAAUAUAGUUCCCUAUGAUGAAAAACGUAAUCUAGAGUUUGUUUUUGAUUAUUGCUUAUGCUUGCUAAAACCCAACAUUCAGAUCUUAAGCCAAACCCAGUCUUUGUGAUCCUACCAUUCAUUUCACUAUAGCAUGUGAUGGGGAGAAUAAGCACCAUAGAUGGUAGUGUAUCCAGCCAUUGGGAGAGGUGUAAUGAUCAAAAUACUGGAAGACUACCCAGGGUUGGGGCAUGAACCUGGCAUACAAUGUAGAAUUCUGUGUUUGUUAAGCAACAGCUACAUUGUCUGCUGGGUUUCAAGCUGCCUGGAAAUACAAAACGAAUUCCAGUCUUAGCACCUAUGUUUUCUGUGUGAGCCUGUCCUAGGUGCUUAACGAGGAAAAUAAGCUGAUCAUCAAACAAGUGAUCAUCCUGGAGUCAGCGGCACUCUGCUAGCUUGGAAUGAGGCUAUCAGCACUUGGCUCAAACUGAAAAUCUAAGUUUCAAGGCACUGAUGCAUUGUAUGUGUUUAAAUGUUGAUAUCUUUUUUUUGUUUGUUUUAUGAGUUUAUUUUCAAGAAGAUUGGAGAUGACUUAUGCUUUCCAGUUUAAAACAUGAUGGUUCCUGAUAUUAAUGCUGUCCCUUUUAUUAAGAUGAGUAAGAAAAGAUCAAUAAACGUAUGAAAAAUCUACCUCUGGAUUCACAUUAAACCAUUAUUACAUACUGUGUAAGCAACCCACUGAAGAUGUUUAUACUGGUGGGGAGGGAGAGGGUUAGUUAUCAUAAUGGGUUGGUGCACCAGCCUUUCACUAGAAUAGCAGUUGAGUCUCUUGCAAAUUGUGUCAUAAGUGAAAAUGAACUUGGCCUGCUGCAUUUGUGCAUAUCAUAGAGCCACACAGUGCAACAGAACUGGCAGUUUCAGAAUGAGACCCAAGAUUGGAAUAGCAGAGGGCUAUUGUAGAUCAGGCUUGAAAGGGCAAAGGCAAAGCUGUGUGGGGAAGCUUGUGCAGCAUAUGCUUAGUAGUCUAUGCCUGUUUCCCGUCUCUGCUGUUUACUGCUCACUGUCAGACUUCAAGUUCACUUGCAUCUUGGUGAAUGAUGAAUAAAGAUCACUCUAAAAAAUUAUAGGAAGAUGACAUUUUAUUUGUGAGGUACACCCUUUGGUCAAGAAUCUUAUUUGUGUGAUGAGACAGGUCUAAAUUAAUAAUGCAGGAAUACAGAGCUUCUUCUGUUUGAAUGCAGUACUCUAAGAGACAAGUAUGAUCUUACCAUGAAAAUCUGCGCUUUCUUAAAGUUCAAAUAAAGCUGCUAA